rnacentral:lncRNA from 1 species
UUUUUUUGGGUUUCUUUUUUAUUUUUAUUAUAUGUUUGAUGUUUGUCUUUUAUUAUUAUCGUUUCCACAUGUUUUAUCCCCACUCGUUGAAUAUUAUUUGGUAGAGGGGAUCCUGUAUAGGAUCCCCAUGGCAUUUACUAUGGGUUUGAUUUUUGAUGGCAACUUGAUGAAGAUCACGAGGCCUAAUUUGUUUAGUUAUUUUGUGGUUUAUUGGACUUUAUCAAGUUUGGGAUCUGAUUUUCUACUUACCAUUCCCCCCAAGCCGAUAUUUUCUUUUUUCUCAUUUUAUUUGUUUUGUUGUAUGUUAGUUUAGUUUUUUUUUAAUCAAAUAAAAAUAUUAGCAAACUCUUCC